rnacentral:rRNA from 2 species
AGGUUAAGCUGAAGAGGCGGAGCCGCAGCGAAAGCGAGUCUGAAUAGGGCGUUUAGUACGUGGUCGUAGACCCGAAACCAGGUGAUCUACCCAUGUCCAGGGUGAAGUUCAGGUAACACUGAAUGGAGGCCCGAACCCACGCACGUUGAAAAGUGCGGGGAUGAGGUGUGGGUAGCGGAGAAAUUCCAAUCGAACCUGGAGAUAGCUGGUUCUCCCCGAAAUAGCUUUAGGGCUAGCCUUAAGUGUAAGAGUCUUGGAGGUAGAGCACUGAUUGAACUAGGGGUCCUCAUCGGAUUACCGAAUUCAGUCAAACUCCGAAUGCCAAUGACUUAUCCUUAGGAGUCAGACUGCGAGUGAUAAGAUCCGUAGUCAAGAGGGAAACAGCCCAGAUCGCCAGCUAAGGUCCCAAAGUGUGUAUUAAGUGGAAAAGGAUGUGGAGUUGCUUAGACAACUAGGAUGUUGGCUUAGAAGCAGCCACCAUUUAAAGAGUGCGUAAUAGCUCACUAGUCGAGUGACUCUGCGCCGAAAAUGUACCGGGGCUAAAUACACCACCGAAGCUGCGAAUUGAUACCAAUGGUAUCAGUGGUAGGGGAGCGUUCUAAGUGCAGUGAAGUCAGACCGGAAGGACUGGUGGAGCGCUUAGAAGUGAGAAUGCCGGUAUGAGUAGCGAAAGACGGGUGAGAAUCCCGUCCACCGAAUGCCUAAGGUUUCCUGAGGAAGGCUCGUCCGCUCAGGGUUAGUCAGGACCUAAGCCGAGGCCGACAGGCGUAGGCGAUGGACAACAGGUUGAUAUUCCUGUACCACCUCUUUAUCGUUUGAGCAAUGGAGGGACGCAGAAGGAUAGAAGAAGCGUGCGAUUGGUUGUGCACGUCCAAGCAGUUAGGCUGAUAAGUAGGCAAAUCCGCUUAUCGUGAAGGCUGAGCUGUGAUGGGGAAGCUCCUUAUGGAGCGAAGUCUUUGAUUCCCCGCUGCCAAGAAAAGCUUCUAGCGAGAUAAAAGGUGCCUGUACCGCAAACCGACACAGGUAGGCGAGGAGAGAAUCCUAAGGUGUGCGAGAGAACUCUGGUUAAGGAACUCGGCAAAAUGACCCCGUAACUUCGGGAGAAGGGGUGCUUUCUUAACGGAAAGCCGCAGUGAAUAGGCCCAAGCGACUGUUUAGCAAAAACACAGCUCUCUGCGAAGCCGUAAGGCGAAGUAUAGGGGGUGACACCUGCCCGGUGCUGGAAGGUUAAGGAGAGGGGUUAGCGUAAGCGAAGCUCUGAACUGAAGCCCCAGUAAACGGCGGCCGUAACUAUAACGGUCCUAAGGUAGCGAAAUUCCUUGUCGGGUAAGUUCCGACCCGCACGAAAGGUGUAACGAUUUGGGCACUGUCUCAACCAGAGACUCGGUGAAAUUAUAGUACCUGUGAAGAUGCAGGUUACCCGCGACAGGACGGAAAGACCCCGUGGAGCUUUACUGUAGCCUGAUAUUGAAUUUUGGUACAGUUUGUACAGGAUAGGCGGGAGCCAUUGAAACCGGAGCGCUAGCUUCGGUGGAGGCGCUGGUGGGAUACCGCCCUGACUGUAUUGAAAUUCUAACCUACGGGUCUUAUCGACCCGGGAGACAGUGUCAGGUGGGCAGUUUGACUGGGGCGGUCGCCUCCUAAAGUGUAACGGAGGCGCCCAAAGGUUCCCUCAGAAUGGUUGGAAAUCAUUCGUAGAGUGCAAAGGCAUAAGGGAGCUUGACUGCGAGACCUACAAGUCGAGCAGGGACGAAAGUCGGGCUUAGUGAUCCGGUGGUUCCGCAUGGAAGGGCCAUCGCUCAACGGAUAAAAGCUACCCCGGGGAUAACAGGCUUAUCUCCCCCAAGAGUCCACAUCGACGGGGAGGUUUGGCACCUCGAUGUCGGCUCAUCGCAUCCUGGGGCUGUAGUCGGUCCCAAGGGUUGGGCUGUUCGCCCAUUAAAGCGGUACGCGAGCUGGGUUCAGAACGUCGUGAGACAGUUCGGUCCCUAUCCGUCGUGGGCGUAGGAAAUUUGAGAGGAGCUGUCCUUAGUACGAGAGGACCGGGAUGGACGCACCGCUGGUGUACCAGUUGUUCUGCCAAGGGCAUAGCUGGGUAGCUAUGUGCGGAAGGGAUAAGUGCUGAAAGCAUCUAAGCAUGAAGCCCCCCUCAAGAUGAGAUUUCCCAUAGCGUAAGCUAGUAAGAUCCCUGAAAGAUGAUCAGGUUGAUAGGUUCGAGGUGGAAGCAUGGUGACAUGUGGAGCUGACGAAUACUAAUAGAUCGAGGACUUAACCAUAUAA